AUAAUAAUAAUAAAAGAAUUUAACUUUGGACGGAUUGUCGUUGACGAAAUACAGCAAAAGGACUACUACUUACACUCAUUCGAGAAACAGGUCUGGAUGCCGAAGCUUGAAAAUAAGAGAGUUCCAAAUUAUCCAAAAACCCCUUAUCUUCAAAAAUCAGCUGGAAUUCUGUAGCCAAAUGGUCAAAAGUUGUAGAAGAACCGCUUUCCAACACAAAGACAGCUUGUGAACCAAAAAACUCAGCCAGUACCGAUAUUCUAAACCGAACCGG